rnacentral:rRNA from 1 species
UACGUAGGUGGCAAGCGUUGUCCGGAUUUACUGGGCGUAAAGAGCGCGCAGGCGGUCGGUCAAGUCGAGUGUGAAAGCCCCCGGCUCAACUGGGGAGGGUCACUCGAUACUGAUCGACUCGAAGGCAGGAGAGGGUAGUGGAAUUCCCGGUGUAGUGGUGAAAUGCGUAGAUAUCGGGAGGAACACCAGUGGCGAAGGCGACUACCUGGCCUGUUCUUGACGCUGAGGCGCGAAAGCUAGGGGAGCAAACGGG